rnacentral:rRNA from 1 species
UACGUAGGAUGCAAGCGUUGUCCGGAUUUACUGGGCGUAAAGCGCGCGCAGGCGGCACUCUAAGUACGUCGUGAAAUAUCCCGGCUCAACCGGGAGGGUGCGAUGUAGACUAGGGAGCUAGAGGUCGGUAGAGGGUGGAAUUUGCUGGGUGUAGCGGUGAAAUGCGUAGAGAUCAGCAGGAACACCCGUGGCGAAGGCGGCCCUGGGCCCGUACCUGACGCCUGAGGCGCGAAGGCUAGGGGAG